rnacentral:rRNA from 1 species
UACGAACCGUGCGAACGUUAUUCGGAAUCACUGGGCUUAAAGCGCGCGUAGGCGGGACGGCACGUCGGUCGCUGAAAUCCCCCGGCUCAACCGGGGAACGGGCGCCGAUACGACCGCCCUGGAGGGACGUAGGGGGACCUGGAACUUCCGGUGGAGCGGUGAAAUGCGUUGAGAUCGGAAGGAACGCCCGUGGCGAAAGCGAGGUCCUGGACGUUUUCUGACGCUGAGACGCGAAAGCCAGGGGAGCGAACGGG